CGUACAGAAAAGCACUGUGGCAGAAAAACCAGAAUUGGUUUAUAAAGAUGUCUGCCUGCUACCGAAUCCUGAUUGGAAUGUAGUACCGCGUGGUUUGGCCAAGGCGGGAUUGGUCGAAAAAGGGCUGUUUGUUGACGCUUUUCACCUUGACAAAAAGUGGAACGAGGUUCGACUGUACAGGGAAUUGUCCUCGCUCUUUGAAAGAGUGCUAGAUGGUGAACAAGGUCAUGAGAUCGGGUGAGUACUGUAAAGUUACAAUACAAUACACUGAUACAUAAUGGCCGUUUUUAUACUAGAGACGCAUAAUAGAGACGCAUUAUGCGUCUGGACGAACUUGGGCUUGUUUAUUUUAGUAUUUCAACUUUUAUUUUAGUAUUUCAACUUUUUAUUUUUGUGUUUCAACUUUUUAUUUUUGUGUUCCAACUUUUUAUUUUUCUGUUUCAACUUUUUAUUUUUCUGUUUCAACUUUUUAUUUUUCUGUUUCAACUUUUUAUUUUUCUGUUUCAGCUUUUUAUUUUUAGAGUUUCUACUUUUUAUUUUUGUGUUUUAACUUUUUAUUGUUCUGUUUCAACUUUUUAUUUUUCUGUUUCAACUUUUUAUUUUUCGUUUUUGUUUGUGGAAACACCAAGUAAAUUUAUUACUGCAAAGCUUUCGAUCCGUAAGCCCGGAUCUUCAUCAG